GUUGAACGCUGGCGGCAUGCCUUACACAUGCAAGUCGAACGGCAGCACGGAGCUUGCUCUGGUGGCGAGUGGCGAACGGGUGAGUAAUAUAUCGGAACGUACCCAAGAGUGGGGGAUAACGUAGCGAAAGUUACGCUAAUACCGCAUACGAUCUGAGGAUGAAAGCAGGGGACCUUCGGGCCUUGUGCUCCUGGAGCGGCCGAUAUCUGAUUAGCUAGUUGGUGAGGUAAAGGCUCACCAGGGCAUCGAUCAGUAGCUGGUCUGAGAGGACGACCAGCCACACUGGAACUGAGACACGGUCCAGACUCCUACGGGAGGCAGCCGUGGGGAAUUUUGGACAAUGGGGGCAACCCUGAUCCAGCAAUGCCGCGUGAGUGAAGAAGGCCUUCGGGUUGUAAAGGACUUUUGUCAGGGAGGAAAUCCUUAGCGUUAAUACCGCUGAGGGAUGACAGUACCUGAAGAAUAAGCACCGGCUAACUACGUGCCAGCCGCCGCAGUAA
rnacentral:rRNA from 1 species